CGUGCACAUUGCCCGAUUUCAAGCUCUGAGAUGGUGACGUUAUGCCCUGGUUUCGACAAGGAAAAUAUUGCGGAGGCAGCUUGGAAGAAG
rnacentral:sRNA from 1 species